CUAGCCCACGUUCAUUUCCCUAAAUCACACAAAACUCAAGAAAUUCAAAAUCCCUAGCUUAGCUCAUUCAUCCAUAUACAGUAAUGAAACGGUCGAAUUUCGCUUUCCUAUAAUCAAUAUGAACAAAAUGGUACGAGUACGACGUAUUCUGAUUCCCGACUGGCAAUUUAUUAUAUAUUUCAACAAAAGCGGAAGAUGAUUCUCGAAGUUUCUUGAAGUGUUUUACUUGUUGGAGCCAAUACUAGCGUGCCCGCCGUUGACUCAGUAGCAAUUGAUUUAGCUGAGGUUUCUUUUUUCCCCCAUUUUCUGAGCUAAUUUCGUGUUGCCGUAACUUUGAGUGAAAGAAAAGGGAGGCGUUUGAUGGAGCUAUGUUACAUAAUUUAUUUAACGGAUACGUGAAGAGGCAAUGAGUUGAAAUAUAAUUAUCUGAAUUCUGGGAAAAAAGAAGAUAAUUUUGAAAGGUAAUGAAAAACGGUACAACUAUAUAGUAUCAUCAUCUAAAGGGGUUGUACUUGUAUGUUGUAGGUGUGGCGCAAAGCCCCUCUCAUGUAAUACCUAAUUAAAUGGAAAGGAAAAAUAGAAGCUAGCCCCAAAUGUGGGGGAAACAAACAACAAUGGAACUCAUAUGCUGUGGCUUGAAAAAUAUUUGUUGCCCUUCUUGCAGGACACAAGAAUUUGCUGUAGGUUAACUAACAAGCUGGAAGAUCUGCUGGUGCUGCCUCUAGUGUUUCCAGUUCUCCAAUUCCGUUCUCUACUAGGAAAGCCGUUGCAAGUCCCCAGCCGAUGUGAACAUCCAAGUGACAGUGCAGCAGCCAUACCCCUGUUUGCAGUUCAAUUUUUAAUCUCAAAGUUACAAAUAUGUGUUAGAACAUUAGACAUUUAGAAUAUGUGAUUUGUGUCUCAAAUUGAACCUGGAUUAUCUGCUACGAAUCUGAUCACCGUCCAUCCACCUACAGGAACACUUGCUGUAUUGCGCAGAGGAGGGUCUACAAGAUUGAAUUUGCCUGUAUCUCUGCUUGGAUUGAAAUUUCCGAACCCUUCAGCAAUUAUGUAGAAAUCAUAACCAUGAAGAUGGAUUGGGUGGUUCUCAGCAGUGAAGAUGCUUGUUCCCUGCAGAACCAACUGCACUGUUUCCCCGUAUCUUAACUUGUAGAGUUUAGUACCAGGAAUAGGCUGCCAUAGUGACCGGCUGACGUUCCCUGUAUAAUCAAACUUUACGGGAGGGUUUGCUGGAAAAUCUGUCGUGAAGACACCAGGUAUCCGUUGUUGAUGCGCUUGAAGCAAGGAGAAAGUGGAUGGCAGCACGAAAGAUACGUUGUUCAUGCUGGCAGUGAAUCGAGUACCAUUUGGACCCUGACAGGUGCUACGGCUGGCACCGGGGGGACAGUUUUUGAGUCCUAGUCCAACGGUGUAGAAGAGAUUAUGAUCAAUGUUAGUAGGUACUUGAACUUGUCUUGGGCUUCUGAAGCUGGUUGUGAAGGCAGUGGCAGUAGCAGUGUCGUUAAAAGCUGGCAUCGUUGGCAUAACUGGCUUGAUUGUGGCACCUUUAGCUGGGCAGGGGGCAGAUUUGUAUUCGAGGAUGGCUGUAGUUGUGGUAUUAUCAAAUGGUGCGCCUUGAGCACUUGCGUAGGCUUCUGCUGCCAUGUAGUAUCUUGCAGGUGGCUGAUCAGCGGUGAUUAGGACAUCCGUGGUCUGGCCUGGCCCGAGCAUUAGGACUGAGGUGGUGAAGGGCUUAACGUAGGAGGCAUCAGCUCCAACCACCGUAAGCUUGUGAUUGGCCACUUUGAAGAAGAGUUCUUGAUUGAGUGCAGAAUUGACAACUCUGAGAAGAUUCGUCUCGCCCGAGUCCACUGGAACUAUUACUGUGUCUGCAUCAGAUGGAACAAAUGUGUCAUAUCCCAGCAUUGAUCCUUAUUUGUCAUGUGCAGAUAUGAGCAAGGUUAUAUUAUGUUUAUCUUUCUUUUAAUGUGUCCUAUUAUUGAUUUGCUCUUGAUUUUUUAUAAUUUUCAAUAAACCGAUUUUAGGUGAAGAAAUUUGUAUCAUCUGCGCACUCAGACUAACUAUUUGUUGCCAUUACAAGGCAUCAGAAAUAAAAGCAAGAUUUGCAACCUUUGCUGGAGCAAUUGUACAGGUCUCCAGGCUGGCCAUUGAUUGUGUAAGCAUCGGAAAUGUUGGGAGCAGCUCCUGUUCUUGUGGCUUGUCUCACAACAGCGAUCGGAUCGGCAUUCCACCACUCACCUGACCAAAGUUGACAUCAGUCAUUAUCUGAGGUUUUUGAUUGAGCAGUAUUCACACACACACAUAAUCAUUGUUUAAAAAGACUCUGUUUCUUUUAUUGCUAAUUGAAGUGCACAUCAGAAGAUGAAGGAGCAAUAGGUACCAAGAAGAAGGGCCGUUUCACGCUUUGGCUUCUGGAAGGGAUACGAGUCUCCUUGUUUAGGGUGAAUGAUCAAAGCUCCGUAGACUGUGGCUCUGAGCCAUGAACUGUGAGCGUGCCACCAAAGAGUACCUUCUUGUCCUUGGAUGGUGAAUCGGUAAGUGUAACUCCCUCCUGGUCUUAUAGGGCAUUGAGUCACGAAUUCUGGUCCAUCAGCCCAUCCAGUCCUAAUCUGCCUGACACCGUGCCUACGAGGAAUAUAAAACGAUUAGAGGAGUUUAUUACACGUCUUAGAUUAUUCUAUGCGACUAUAUAGAUAUAAUGCUUGCAUUUCACAUGCAUGCAAUUACCAGUGAAUGGUAACGUUGUACUGAGCUCUGUUGACAACGUUAACCACUAGAGUAUCGCCAUUGUUCACUUCCAGCGUAGGCCCCGGGAACAUCCCAUUAACAGUGAUAGCGCUCUGGGUCUUGCACAGCCUCUUCACUGGGGUUGCUUGCACCUGUUUCACAAAAACAAUCAUGAGAAAAUGUAGAGAAUAACAUAGGAGGUAGGAGGUCAGAAACAUACGACAAAAUCAUGGUAGUGGACUUUGGCAUUUGUUGUCGGCAGUGUGCCGGUAGAGAGAAGCAAGAAAGCCAAUAUGAUGAAACAUGAGAAGAGAGAGGUGGUGCUGUUUCUGACUCCUUCCAUCUUCUUCACUAGUGUUUUGAUUUAGCUUCGUCGUUAGAUAGUUGAAGAGAAGGUUAGAGUGAAUAUUUGGGUUGUGAGAGAGUGAGAGCGUGGAAUUGCUUAUAUACACAAGAAUAGGCGAGAGAGGGUGGUUCUGAGGUUGGCAGAUUAGGUUAAGAUACAGAUUAGGGGCUAUACGUAGUUCAACUUUGUGUAGUUGUUGCACCCACUGGUUGAUCAGAAUCAAGAAAUUUUCAUCUA